ensembl:lncRNA
AGUACGUGUGCAAACAUGUGAAGUGCAGGCUACAGGUGUUGUUUGACAAGUGCAGUUCUGCAUAGCUUUGCCCUUUCCUUUUUUAUGUUUGUCAAAAGUCUGCAAAUCUCUUAAGUCUCAUAUUUGAACAGAAUGUUUUGUAUGUCAUCGACAGUGCCCACACAGCGGUAACGUCACUAAUGUUUAUUUUGUGAAGGCAUGCGAGUUCAUUGGGUGGAGAAGUCUUCGACAGGUUGCAACUGAAGCAUGUGUGUUAAUGUGUGUGUAAACAGAGAAGUCCGCAGAGGCAGUGGAAAAGUUGCAGUGGGUCGUAGCAGGUGUAAAUGGAUCUGAGGUCUACGGGCUCUGAAAUGGAAGCCAGUAGCAGCUGGAAGGCCUUAUGACUCACAAGGUCAGAAGGUCAAUGCAGCAGCAGGCAGCAGACUGCAUUUACCAGCGCAGAGACGCAGGGUGUGAGAAGAGCCUGAAACUCUGUCAUCAGAAACUCAGAUUGGGGUCAGGCAGGCGUCUCUGGGCUUUCCUGUCUAUAAGCACAGGCCGCCAGGCGGAUGACAUGGCCUGUUAUUCCACGUGUAAGGAAUUGGCAAAUUACACACUGAGGAGAUGA